rnacentral:lncRNA from 1 species
CAGAACUGGUGCCAUGCUUCACAAACAGUCUAGAAUUUACUACAAACAGGGUCUGAAGGAUAGUUAAUACACUGUUUCUAAAAUAGUAUAUGAAACAUGAUGAAGAAAUAGAGGGGGACACUAGGGUCUACGAACGCAUGUCGGACUACCUCGGAAUCUCCAACUGGACCAAAGGCAGCCACCCAAGCUAAGGUUCGAAUGAUUCUGCUACGGGAUCUGCACACAGUGCAGAGUGUAGUAUCAGCAUGAAUGACCGUAUGUGCUGGUAAGUUCCUAGCCUAACCUCGGCGAAGUAGUGACGAUGCUAGGACCAGACUACCAAAUAAACUUAUGUAAUUAAAUAAUAUACAGCUAAAAAGAAAAACAGUAAUGUACAGUUAAGUAUGGAAGGGGGUAACAUGCUGCGGGACAUCGAAUAACAACAGAAGAACAACAAAUAAAUAUGAGGAUCACCACAGUUCAAUUGAAAAUAGGAAGGGGUAAUCAUGUUGCGGGGUAUAGCAAGUAUCAACAUGAAAUCAUCAAUUAAAUGUAGAGAAACGUAACUUAGUUAUCAAUAAAAUCAGGAAAUCAAAGACAAAUACACGAUAUCACCCUCCGUGCUUUAACACUCUCCUACCAAAAUAAUACACGACAUCACCCUUUGUACUUUAAUACUCUUUCUCACCAAAACAAUACACGACAUCACCCUUCGUGCUUUUACACUCUUCCUCACCCAAGCAACAAUCACAAAGCAAAUAGGGUAAGGGAAUCUAUAACAUCAAAAUAAAAUCAAGUAACAACAGAAAAUCAAUAAAUAAAUGUAAAUGACAACAUAACUCAAUUAUAAACGAAAAUAAGGAAAAUCAAGGACAAGUGCACGAUAUCAUCCUCCGUGCUUUUACUCUCGUCCUCACCUUAUGAGUCAAUAUAAUCUGCACGACAUCACCCUUUGUGCUUUUACUCUCAUUCUCACCAUGAAAAUCAAUAUAAUCGGCACGGAAUGGUACAUCAUGUGGCACGACAUCACCCUUCGUACUUUAUACUCUUCCGCACAAUAAUCAUACACGACAUCACCUUUCGUGCUUUAACACUCUUCCUCACCGAAAUAACAAUCACAAGAAAUAAGGACAAGGAAAUAAGUAAGAUCAUAUUAAAAUCCCAGCAAGGGAACAAUAGUACAAAAAUCAAAUUCCAACGAGGGAAAAAAUAUCAAAAUAAUAAUAUUCCGGAAAGGGAAAUAAUAUUAAAGCAACAAUAUCAUGGCAAUGGAAACAAUAUCAUGAUACUCUCUGUUCUUUCCUUUUUCACAUUUACUUCACAACUCAAUUCACAACUUGAGCUAAUGCUCCACCAUGUUCAAUUAAUAAUAAUACUUCCACGGGUCAUCUUCAUUAAUGGAAAUCAUCAUAUAGAGCAUGAACAAUACGAAACAGAGUCAUAUAAAUCAUAGUGUAAGACUCACGUGCAUGCUUGACACCAAUGUAUAGAUACUCAUCACCAUGCCUAUACGCCGUACUUAACAUUGAUCACAUAGAAAAUAAGACUUAACUCCUAAUCCAUCAAGACAAGGUUAGACCAAACAUUUUCCUCGACGCCACGAACACAAAUCAAGCCUCAACUAUCGCUUUACCUCUUGAGUCCACCACCAACUCGCUCAUAUCUAGCCACAAGUUACUUAAUAAUAUUAAUAAGUGCUAAAUGAAUUAAUUCUAAUGCAUGAAAAUAAGUUUUCUAAAGUUUUUCUCAAAAAGUCAAAACUCGACCCCGGGCCCGCUUGGUCCAAACCAGGAAUUCUGACCAAAACCCGAUUACCUAUUCACUCCAGAGCCCGGAUAUAUAAUUGGUCUUGGAAUUCGACCUUAAAUUUGAUGUCUGAAUCCCCAAAUUUCGAUAUUCUUAGGUUUUACCCAGAAUUUCCAAUUUCACCAUGAAACUAGAUUCUAGGAUAAAAUCUUGUAAAAAAAGUCAAGGAGUAAAGAAAAUGAGUUAGAAAUCACUUACUAAUAUUUUGGAGAAGAAAGAUUAUUUGAAAAAUUGCCUCUUAUGUUUUUGGGGUUUUAGAAAUGAAAAUAACUGAAAACCCCGUCUAAAAAUGCUCCUAUCAGAUUGUGACAUGCUUUAGUAUUUUGGCCACAACAUUCUCUACGGAUGUUCACAUUGUGAUAUCUUUAGCUUUCUGGAAACUACACACGAAGGGCUACAACUUUAAUUUUUCUAUCAUCUCACAUUCUUUGUAUAUCAAAUGAUAUAGGCUUUCGAAGUCAGACUAGUGAACCUAUACGGACCGCACAAAAUCCAGUGCGGACAUCACAAAACCAAUGCGAUCAGCAUUGGCGGGUUCACAGAUUUUCAUUUCUCUAAACCUGCAACAUCCAUGUUUUAAGCCUAAGACAUCCCGAAACCUACCCGAAACUCACAUGAGCCCUCGGGACUCCAAACUAUGUGUACAUACCAACUCUAAGACAUCAUAUCGACCAACUCGUACGAUCACAUCAUCAAAAUAACAUGUUAAACCUUUAAUUAAACCUGAAAACUCAUCAUUUUCAUCAAGACACUUAAAGUGAUAGCUCUUCCACCGAAAGUCCAACUCACGUCAAAUAGACUCCAUUUUUCGCAAAAUUUCAUAAUUAUCAUUCAAAUACUAUAACAAAUUUGUACGGGGCUCCAGAACCAAAAUACAGACCCGAUAAUAAUGGUUUCAAACAUUAAUUCUUUUCUUCAUUUCUUAGAUAAUUCAGCAAACUAAUUUCUUUAAAAAAUUUAUUUCUAAGGCUUGAGACCUCAAAAUUCAUUUCUGCGCAUACGCCAAGUCCAAUAUUUUGGUGUGGACCUCCCGUAAUCGUCGGAACACAGAUCCGGGUCCGUUUGUUCAAAAUAUUGACCAAAGUCAACCAAAAUAAAAUUUUAACUCUAGAAAUUUCUAUUUCUCAUCUUUUCACCUAGAAGACUUUUCGGAUAUAGGUCCGGAUCACGCAUACAAAUCAAAGUGAGACAGAAAGAGGUUUUUAAGGCCUCGGAACGCAUAAUUCAUUUUAAAAAUAAGUGAUGACCUUUUGGGUCAUCACAGCAGGACUACCUUGGGUCUCAUGAAUGUAGUGAUAACAACCAACCUCUCGAUCAGCCACUAGCUCCAAAAUCUGCACAGAAAGUGUAGAGUGCAG